CCUACGUGCGGCAGCAGUGAGGAAUAUUGGUCAAUGGGCGCGAGCCUGAACCAGCCAAGUAGCGUGAAGGAUGACUGCCCUACGGGUUGUAAACUUCUUUUAUAAAGGAAUAAAGUGAGGCACGUGUGCCUUUUUGUAUGUACUUUAUGAAUAAGGAUCGGCUAACUCCGUGCCAGCAGCCGCGGUAAUACGGAGGAUGCGAGCGUUAUCCGGAUUUAUUGGGUUUAAAGGGAGCGUAGAUGGGGUGUUAAGUCAGUUGUGAAAGUUUGCGGCUCAACCGUAAAAUUGCAAUUGAUACUGGCAGUCUUGAGUACAGUUGAGGUAGGCGGAAUUCGUGGUGUAGCGGUGAAAUGCUUAGAUAUCACGAAGAACUCCGAUUGCGAAGGCAGCUUACUAAACUGCCACUGACAUUGAUGCUCGAAAGUGUGGGUAUCAAACAGGAUUAGAUACCCUAGUAGUC
rnacentral:rRNA from 1 species